UAAUGUGGGAAUCUGCCUUUUGGUUUGGAAUAACACGGGGAAACUUGUGCUAAUACCGAAUAAGCCCUUACGGGGAAAGUUUUAACGCCGAAAGAUGAGCCCGCACUUGAUUAGCUAGUUGGUAAGGUAAAAGCUUACCAAGGCAAUGAUCAAUAGCUGUUCUUAGAGGAAGACCAGCCACAUUGGGACUGAGACACGGCCCAGACUCCUACGGGAGGCAGCAGUGGGGAAUCUUGCACAAUGGGGGAAACCCUGAUGCAGCGAUGCCGCGUGAGUGAAGAAGGCCUUUGGGUUGUAAAACUCUUUCGUCGGGGAAGAAAAUGACUGUACCCGAAUAAGGAGGUCCGGCUAACUUCGUGCCAGCAGCCGCGGUAAUACGAAGGGACCUAGCGUAGUUCGGAAUUACUGGGCUUAAAGAGCUCGUAGGUGGUUAAAAAAGUUGAUGGUGAAAUCCCAAGGCUCAACCUUGGAACUGCCAUCAAAACUUUUUAGCUAGAGUGUGAUAGAGGUAAGUGGAAUUUCUAGUGUAGAGGUGAAAUUCGUAGAUAUUAGAAAGAACACCAAAUGCGAAGGCAACUUACUGGGUCACUACUGACACUGAGGAGCGAAAGCAUGGGUAGCGAAGAGGAUUAGAUACCCUCGUAGUCCAUGCCGUAAACGAUGUGUGCUAGACGUUGGAAAUAUAUUUUUUCAGUGUCGC
rnacentral:rRNA from 1 species